GAAUGAAAUGGAGGAUCCAACAUUCGCAAGGCCGACCAUUCCACUCUAUAAAAGCCUUGGCAGGAGGGGAGGAUGUGAAGAGACACAGAUAGAAAGUGUGUGACAUUCUAUCAGGCUCAUGCACUGAGUGGAUGUUCUUCUCAUCCUGAAGUAGCGUGGACUCUAGACAUGGAUUGAUCUACCUCAGUGAAGGUAUUGUAAUUAGAAAACAAGUGGAGAAGCUCUCUGCUUCUUGGCCAUGGAUGGAUACUAUAUGGCCAGUUCUCUUAAGCCACUGCCACUGUGACCUCCCAAUGAAACUGUAAGUAAAAAUUAACUCUAAUGAUUUUUUCCUAGUGACUCAUUUCAGCUCAAGAAGGAAUUAAACCCCAAACCACCACAGGAGCCUGAAGAUGACCUCACCAGCUGAGCCUUCAGGAAGGUAUCCUCUAUGGAUCACAAUUUAUAUUUCUUUUCUUUCUUUCUUUCUUUUUUUUUUCAAUGCCGUUUAUUCAGGAACCUUGAACAAUCAUUGGACCCUGGGGAAAGCCAGCCCACAGCUUAAAUAGCCUCUGGGUAGCCAACCCCAGCGUGCCACGUGGGCAAUGCAGAUAGGUCCACAUACAUGGAAGCAAGCCAGAUCCUCAGCCUUAGCCAAAUGUGGAGUUGUUUGUGACAGAGAGCACUCACCAUCGGGAAGGUGGAAGGCGGAAACCAGCUCCAUCUUUAAGGCACGGCAUUACGCAGCAUAUUUCUUAACAGAGAAAUAUUUCAGUGGUGCAUGAGUUAAAUAUUUGAGAUCAGUAUUGAUAUUAAGUGUUUCAGCCUCUAAAAAACUGAAGAAGAGGUCAAGAUAGAGAGUUUAGGGGGCAUCAGAGGAAGUAGGAGGCAGAGGAAGGGGUAGAUUCAAUGUAAAUAUAGUACCCAUUCAUGAAAUCUUAAUUAAUUAAUUAAAUAAUUAAAUGUAUCAGAAAGUUACAGAAUACUGCUUAAACAAAGUUCACUGUGCAUUGCCAUGUAACUUUUUAUUUCAAUUCUUUUUUCCUUGAUUGCUCUUAUAAAAGAUAUUUUACAAAUUUACUUAUACACUUAGCUGUAUGCCUCCUUAGUGUUCUGAAGUCUAUCUCAAGAGGUGAGAGAGCUAAGAGAGAGAAGGAAAGCUGAGGUGGGGUGCAUCUCUUGGACAAACUAGAGACCUGCGACAGGUUAGACUCCUGGAAGUAUAUGGGGUAACUCUAGCAGAGAUUCCUAGUAGCAGGGAUCAUGGAGAAUGAAGUACCCACCUCCUAGCCAGACAGGACUUCUAGUGGAAGGAGGGGGACACCAACUCAUGUACAAAACUUUUGACCCCAAAUUUACCCUUCCUGUAAGAUGUGUGGGAUAAAGAUGAAGCAGAGAUUGAGGGAAUGUCUAACCUAUGGCUACCCCAUCCUGAGACCCAUCCCAUAGGACAGAGACAGUACUAAUGAUACUUUGCAAUGCUUGCAGACAGAAGCCUAGUGUAACUGCCCUCUGAGAGGCUACACCCAGCAGCAGAUCAAAACAGAUUAUGAGACCUACAGCCAAACAUUGAGUGAAGCUCGAGGAAUCUUGUGGAAGGGUGAGGGGAAGAAUAGGAGGACACACAGGUGACAAGAACUACACAAGAAGAGCAACAGAGUCAACAAACCUAGGCCCAUGGGAGACUGGAGCACCAACCAAAGAACAUACAUGGAUUGGACCUAGGUUCCGAAUACAGUCUCACCAUGCUGGUGAUGUUGAUCUCAGAUUCUGAGGAGGUGCUUCUUGACUGCAUUCUGAGGAGCCUCUACUAAAGACAGAGACCCUACACCUAGCUGGUGGUGAUCCAUUGCAAGGAAAGAACAUGAGGUCAGGACUGUUGGAUCAACUGACAAUUUUUUUUAAAGACACUCCAAGUACACAAUACUGAAUGUAUUUCUUUCUCUGAUAAUCCGAGAGCAGCAGAGAAUUUCAUUAUACAGUAUUACACAUUUAGCAUGAAAAGACCAUACUCAGAGUAGUUAUGAUUUAGAAACUGGGAUACUAAUAUCUUACUAGUUUCCAUCUUAUACGACACUUCCCUUUCAAUGUGAGUCUAGCAGAUGUAUAAAUUUUUCAGGUGAUAAUACUCUAACUAAGAAUUAUAUGGAGGGUAUUUAUACGCAGACAGUGUGGACAGAGAUGCCUAAUUAUGUAACUCAUGGGUUGUAUUUGACUUUCUUUAAGGAGCUGUGCACUAAAGAAUAGUUGAAAAGAAUGGAUAAUUUGAUGGACCACGAUGAGGAAGAUUGAGGAAGCAGAGAAAUGACAUCAGUUAAUGUUAUAUAGUAAGAGAGUGCGGAAGACAUACAAAAAUCAAGAUACAAGAUGGUAGAGGAUUUCAGGAGCAAGUCGUGAGUGUUCAGUCCCUACAAAUGACACUCUGAAAAAUCAAAAGAUAUAAUUUAACAAAACUAAGACACAUAUGAGAAACUAUCACAGAGGACCUCCUGUUCUUCAGAUAUUAAGAGGACGGUGUUUUGGAAUCAGUUACCUCCUACUACAAGGCUUGAAACUAAAAAUACAGUCAUCAAACAUGUGUGGCAAAGCAGCAGGAGCCAGAACCAUGAAAUCAAUCAUGAGUUGGGAAAUGAAGGAAAGCACUGUUGAAGAGCUAGCUUCUAUAGUCCCAUGAAUUCAUUUUGAAUGACCUGGAAGAGCAACUGAAGAACAUGUGCCUGGAAGGUGAUCAUAUCCUGCUGAUACUUAAGCUCUUACUGCACUGCUCACUGGGUUCUUAGUCUCAUCACUGAAGUCAACAAUAGCUCUGCUCAGUGUCGUGUGAAGCUUCCAACAGAUGCAGCCCACCACACUCUGCUAAUGAAAACCUGUUCCUUCUUCUGAACUCAGUGCUCCUGUAUCAAGGUUUGACAUUCCUGUCUCAGUCUUGGAUCCUGCACCAUUUGCAAGAAAAAUGAUUUUUCUUCAGGGUCUUACUGUCCUGCUCACUCGGUUGUCACACUCUUCACUGAAGCCAUGCUUUCUCUCAGUUCCAUGAGAAGUUCAAGCCAGAAUCUGGAAACAACGUAGAUGUCCCUCAACUGAGGAAUGGAUACAGAAAUUGUGGAACAUUUACACAAUGGAAUACUACUCAGCAAUUAAAAACAAGGAAAUCAUGAAAUUUGCAGGUAAAUGGUAGAAACUAGAAAAGAUCAUCUUGAGUGAGGCAAUUCAGAAGCAGAAAGACACACAUGGUAUAUACUCACUUAUAAGCGGAUUUUAGACAUAUGAUAUAGGGUAAGCAUACUAAAAUCUAUAGUCCUAAAGAAGCUAAACCACAAGAAAGACCCUAGAGAAGAUGCUCAGUCGUCGUUCUGAAGGGCAAAUAUGAUAGAAAUUGGAAGUAGGAGAAGACAGGGACCAGGACAGGAGCCUUCCACAGAGUGGCUCUGAAAGACACUAUUGAUUGAGGUAUCAAAGCAGAGGCUGACACUCAGAGCCAAACUUUGGGCAGACUUAAUGGAAUUUUAUCAAAGUAAGGGGAGAUAGAAAGACCUAGAGGGGACAGGACCUCCAUAAGGAGAUGAACAGAGCCAAAAAAACUAGGCCCAGGGGGCCUCAGAGACUGAUACCACAACCACAAGCCAUGCAUGGCAAGGAACUAAAACCCCUACUCAGAUGAAGCUCAUAGACUUAGUCUCAAAGUGAGUAUCCUAGUAAGGGGAGCAGGGCCUCUCUCUGGCAGGCUCUUUGAUCAUCUCCCCCUGGGGUGCACCCUUGCCAGACCACAGAGGGAGACAAUGCAACCAGUCCUGAUGAGAACUGAUAGGCUAGGGUCAGAUGGAGGGGGAGGAGGACCUCCCUAUCAGUGAACCAGGGAGAGAAGAGGAAGGGUGGGAUUGGGAGGAUACUAGGGAGGGAA